CAGCGGAGGACUUCCAUUGAAAAUAAUGGAAAUUCACAUUGGCGUACUUUCGAUCCUUAAAAGGAACACACAUGACCAGGAAAGAUGCCCAAGGAUGGCAGCUGCCUUGCAGCCAAGCAUGGGUCAGACACACCAAUAUGGCAGCCUGAUAUUCAGAGGCCAACCCAGGCCAAGGAGAAAAACAAGAAACACCUGCAAAGACUAAAUUCCCAGGUCCCAGAAGGAUGGACAAAUGUUUGGUGAGCUCGUUGGUCCCUUGUGGCUCAUGUACUAAUACUCUGGCUACACUGAGGAGGAUGAAUGCCUAAGGCUGGGUGGGUCAGAUGUCUCCACAUCACAAAUGGAAACUACAUGCUGACAACAUUUACCCUGAAAGCUUUCAAGCUGAGAAAGGGCUUGGUUUAGUUGGUUGGGAAGCAAGCAGGCCCGUAUGGUCAGGGAAGCUGAGGACCACUCUUAGACAUCUGUACAAAAUCCUUCUCGUCUAUCUGGAAGAGAGGUUCAAUAUCAAAGGACUUGGUUUCUGUCUGUAUUCAAUAAGCUCUUCACUGGGGACAAAGAA
rnacentral:sRNA from 1 species